UGAUCUGAGCAGCAUGAAGUCCCCUGACAU
rnacentral:piRNA from 1 species